UAUAGAUGCGAUGAUGAUAUUGUUAAUAAUCCCAGCUCAUUAUGAGACCUUCCUUUGUGGGAGGUCAGGGAAAAGAACCAUUAACCCUUAUCUGAGCACCAAA
rnacentral:snoRNA from 1 species